CAACAACCAGAUGCGAGAGAAAAACAACUUCUUGUCCCAUAAGGCAUUUCGGGUCAACUCACGUGGAAACAUGGCUGUGUUCAUGGACUUGAAUAUUAGCUACACAACCGAUAAGAAACGACUUCAGAGUGUUAUUGAAACAGCAGCUCAUCUUGGAUACUCCACAGUUGCCAUCAAUUAUGUGGUUGAUUUGGAACAAAAUAAGCAGGAAAUUGGCAAACCGACGUGUGUCUCCGAGCUGUUUGAAACAUUUCCCAUAGUGCAGGGUAAAUCCAGACCAAUCAAGGUGUUGAACCGACUGACAGUUGUGGCCUCAAGGGCAGCACACUUUAAACCAUUAAGAGAGUACAAAGCCUAUGACUUAGUGGCUGCCUAUCCUAAAACGGAGAAGUUGUUUCAUGCAGCCUGCAUGGAAUUUACUAUUGACAUCAUCUGUGUAGCAGCGACAGAAAAACAGCCCUUUUUUUUCAAAAGAUCUUCAGUCAAUGGGGCAAUUGAAAGGGGUGUGUUUUUUGAGAUACGUUACACACCUGCAAUCCGAGGCUCCACCAUGAGAAGACACACCAUCGCAAAUGCUCUAAAUCUCAUGGAGGCGUGCAAAGGCAAGAACGUAAUUGUGACCAGUGGGGCAGAAAAGAUAGACUAUAUGCAGGUGUGAUGAGGCCAAACUGUGUCACUGCUAUUAUCCUGAAUGGUGUCCAGGGGCCUACUGUUUGGCCUGUCAGAUGAAGAUGGCAAAGCUGCGAUCUCAACCAACUGUCGAGCUGUCCACUUACAUGGAGAAACGAGAAAGACUGCCUUGGGGAUAGUACACUCUAUGAAGAAUGAGCGACCUUUGACUGAGAGACAGGAGGAAGAGGAUGUUCCAGUGUCAAAGAGGGCUAAGAUUGAAAUGGCGCAGUAGAAUGUAAUAACUUGUUUGAAUCGUAAUACUUUUUUCUUUAUGGAUAAAGAAAGUGUUUAUGUAAAUGUAUUUUUAUGAAUACCGUUUUCUAGUAACUGCUCAGUGGUCGUAUAGUUUGUCAUGUAUUAGCAACAAUGAUGAUGCUUGUUCCUUUUAGACAAAGCAAACAAAUUCGGAUGACAACGGCAAUACUGUUUAUUUCAUAACGUAAUGUAAAAUGACAAGCAAAAUGCUAACGGUAAACAUGUAGUAGAACAAUUAAAAUGACUUCAGGAAGUGCAUUAGAAUCACACAAGAAUUAAAAAAUCCUGUGUUCUCACUGACUAGCACAAAAUCAGUUUGAAGCCACCAGAUCACUGUCAUUUUAUAUUAAAGAGAAAUGAAGAAUG